UAUCGGAUUUGCAACACAACCACCUUCAAUCCACGUAGCACCCAUUUCCGCUAUCACAUCGCCCAACCAGCAGGAGUGAAUUCGACCGCCCGGUCUGAAAUUAGAAAUAAAUUGGCCAAUUGCAGCAACAGCAGGAUCUCAUAAUGAUAAAACGUAUAUAUGACUUCACGUGAUUGAUAUUCUGCAUACCUUGUGAGAUAUCGCUGCAGCCUCCAGGAUAAUACCCUGGAUUUUGGAAGGAGCAUCUCAUUGGAUGAAAAUUGUUGAAACCAAGGAGAUUUAUCAUAAAAGAAUAAUAUUUAAUCCUGUUUAAUUUCUCGUAAAUUUGGAUGUAUAAAGCGUGCAGACGAUCUAACAACUUUUUUGUUAAAUUGUUAUCGCCCUGAAACGGAAAUUCAAUCAUAAUGUAAUUAUUAGGUCCUAUCUCAUCAAGAUUAUCGAAAGCGCAAGUACCGGUAGUUCCUAAAGUAGCGACGACGUAACAUGGAAUGAGGCCUUUC